rnacentral:rRNA from 1 species
UGGCGAACGGGUGAGUAACACGUGGGUGAUCUGCCCUGCACUUCGGGAUAAGCCCGGGAAACUGGGUCUAAUACCGGAUAGUACUGCGCGGUGCAUGCCGUGUGGUGGAAAGAUUUAUCGGUGCAGGAUGGGCCCGCGGCCUAUCAGCUUGUUGGUGGGGUAAUGGCCUACCAAGGCGACGACGGGUAGCCGGCCUGAGAGGGCGACCGGCCACACUGGGACUGAGACACGGCCCAG